CGGGAGAGGUAUAAAAAGCCAGUGGCCUGAAGGCAAAAGUGUGUUUUUUAAUCGAAAAAAGGAAAAAUGAUUCUACAAGCGGUGUUCCUGUGCUUAAUUUCCGUCUCCCUGGCAUCGGACGAAGGAGCGUGCUACGUCACCAGUGAGAUGGAGGAUGAAUGCGGGUCGGUCUUCUACCCCAUCGUCAAGCCCCUUUGCCAGACGAAGGAUCGGAAGAACGCAGAGCUACAGGACUCACUGGAUGAACUUAACCUCAAGUACUCAAAAUUGCUGGAGAAACAUUCGGCAUCUCAGGAUAAGUGUAUUGACAUUUCACUCAAAUACUCAGAGAUCCAGGAAAAGUUUCUGCAGAGAGGCCCAAAUGAAACCAAUUCGAAAAAUGAAGAACUUCAGAAUGAGCUAGUUGAAGUGAAUCGUCAGAAUGCGAGGCUGGAGGAACAGAGUCAGAAUAAAGAUGUGGAGCUCCGAAGUCUUAGGGCACAAAUAGCUCAACAAGAUGCUCUAAUCACUCAGUUGAAGGACCAAACCUCUGAUCUUAAACAGACUUGUGAGCUCGGCAAGCUGAAGGAUCUUUUCAGCGAAGAGAUAGCAAAGUUGCGGGAAGUUGUGAAAAGUGGAAGUGGAACUGAACCCAAUACUACUCAGUCGAAGUCAACUCAAGUUGAUCUUCCAGAUCGGUGUCCAUCAAAACAAGAUGAACGUGCGGUUUUCCCAGUACUCAAAUUGCCCUUUUUGACUAUUUCCCAUAGAGACUAUUGCCCAUAGAGCUGUCUCUAUCGCAUGAUUGUUGGUUCUGAUAACCGAUUAUAGUCUCUCGGGUGGGCUAUAAGAGCCAGAGCCCGGGCUUUGGCUCCAUCAGUCGAAUUCUUCCAGUGGCCUGAAGGCAAAAGUGUGUUUUUUAAUCGAAAAAAGAAAAAAUGAUUCUAAAAGCGGUGGUUUUGUUGCUGAUUCCGGUUUCCCUGGCAGUCGAACAGGAAUCGAGCUAUCCUUUGUGGCAACCCCUACUUGGAUUAUUAGAGACCUGCCAAUCGAAGAACUACCAGCUGCAGGAGAAACUUUCGGAGGUCCAAAGUCAACUAUUCGAAGUUAAUCUAAAAAAAAAAGACUUGCAGGCCGAAAUAGCUCAACAAGCUGCUCAAAUCACUCGGUUGCAGGACCAAACCUCUGAACUCGGCAAGCUGAAGGAUCUUUUCAGGGAAGAGAUAGCAAAGUUGCGGGAAGUUGUGAAAAGUGGAAGUGGAACUGAACCCAAUGAGGCAGAAAAGAAUGCGACUAUUGCGGAAAGUGGAGAAUUGGCAAAAAAUGAAGCUACGAAUACUACUCAGUCCAACGCAACUCAAGUUAAAAAUCUUCCAGAUCGGUGUCCUUCAAUACAAGAUAUACUUCCGUUCUACCUAGAAAUCCUUUUCCCAGGAUUGGAACCUUUUCAAGUGUGUUGCUACUCAGAUGGGGAAUUUGGAUCUGGAUGGAUGGAGGUUUUUAAUAAAUAUCAUGUAUUAACGGAAUUUAAUCGAACAUAUGAUCAGUACAUAAACGGAUUUGGAGAUGUGAA